GACGAACGCUGGCGGCGUGCUUAACACAUGCAAGUCGAACGGAAAGGCCCUGCUUUUGUGGGGUGCUCGAGUGGCGAACGGGUGAGUAACACGUGAGUAACCUGCCCUUGACUUUGGGAUAACUUCAGGAAACUGGGGCUAAUACCGGAUAGGAGCUCCUGUUGCAUGGUGGGGGUUGGAACGUUUCGGCGGUUGGGGAUGGACUCGCGGCUUAUCAGCUUGUUGGUGGGGUAGUGGCUUACCAAGGCUUUGACGGGUAGCCGGCCUGAGAGGGUGACCGGCCACAUUGGGACUGAGAUACGGACCAGACUCCUACGGGAGGCAGCAGUGGGGAAUAUUGCACAAUGGGCGGAAGCCUGAUGCAGCAACGCCGCGUGCGGGAUGACGGCCUUCGGGUUGUAAACCGCUUUCGCCUGUGACGAAGCGUGAGUGACGGUAAUGGGUAAAGAAGCACCGGCUAACUACGUG
rnacentral:rRNA from 1 species